GAGCAUUUAGGGGGUUCAAACAGAGAUAGAAGAGGAAAUGAUGAGUUGUUUUUUUUUUUCCACAGCCUUUAAUAUUGUUAUGUAAAAGCACCCUCCUCUUGUGAGCAAGGACACACAGGUGUUUUUCCUUCCUGACUGCAUGGGGGCUGCAUGUCCAGUGGGAUAAUGUUGUGCUGUGACCAUAGGUGGUAAGCGAUGCCUGCAGGAACAGAGGCACUCUGCAACUCCAUCUGUUUUUGCAAAUGUUUCUUGUGUGGA
rnacentral:lncRNA from 1 species